AAGGCACUGGAUUGUGAGCUGCAAUUUAAUGGUCUUGCUCAGAGUUUCUCUUAGUUUUCAGAGUUGUGUGCGAUAGAUUUAUUAGAUAAAUACACUUAA